rnacentral:rRNA from 1 species
GAUUAAGCCAUGCAUGUGUAAGUAUAAAUAGUUAACUUUGAAACUGCGAAUGGCUCAUUAUAUCAGUUAUAGUUUAUUUGAUGAAGAAUACUAAUUGGAUAACCGUAGUAAUUCUAGAGCUAAUACAUGUAUAAAGUCUUGUAGACUGCAUUUAUUAGAAUGAAAACCAUAGGUUUCGGCCUAUUCGUGAGUAAUAAUAACUAAUCAUAUCGUAUGCUUAUGUAAGCGAUGUGUCUUUCAAGUUUCUGCCCUAUCAGCUUUCGAUGGUAGUGUAUUGGACUACCAUG